AUCAUGGCUCAGGAUGAACGCUAGCUACAGGCUUAACACAUGCAAGUCGAGGGGCAGCGGGAUUGAAGCUUGCUUCAAUUGCCGGCGACCGGCGCACGGGUGAGUAACGCGUAUCCAACCUUCCGUACACUCAGGGAUAGCCUUUCGAAAGAAAGAUUAAUACCUGAUGGUAUGAUGAGAUUGCAUGAUAGCAUCAUUAAAGAUUUAUCGGUGUACGAGUGGGG
rnacentral:rRNA from 1 species